UCCGAAAUGCAGUGUCCCUGGAAGGGACGCCCUCUCUGGGCCCGCUGGCUCCCGUCUCAUUGGGCUGAAUGGGGUCAUGUGACCACUCUCCGCUGCAAAGGAGUCUGGGAAAUUGCAUUUUGUUGUUGUUGGAACUCAUUUUGAAGCCAAAUGAAACGAGAAUCGUGUCAACGAGGAAGGUUUAGGGAGGGGGUGGAUGUGUAGGCAACCAGCAGAGGGCCCCGAAAUCCGUGAAGAUCAGGUCUGACGGUGGCUCCAUGCUCCCUCCAUUAAAGGGCUUCACAAAAACCCUUCCGAAAAGGCUCCUGGCUGGCCCUUCUUCUCUCUUCUGCAGAGCUGGGCAUCAGAGCACACUGAGCAGCAGGAUGAAAUGCCCACAGAGCUUCUGAGGCCAAGUCCUGUCUGACAGGUAGGAGGUGGGCCCAUGACAAAUGACCUUGCCUUCCUAACUCCUUGAUUAACUUAUCCAUCCAUGAAUGCGCAAAGGCAGUCCCAACACCUCACUAGAACCCAUUCCUGGA
rnacentral:lncRNA from 1 species